AUUGAACGCUGGCGGCAGGCCUAACACAUGCAAGUCGAACGAGUGGCGGACGGGUGAGUAAUGUCUGGGAAACUGCCCGAUGGAGGGGGAUAACUACUGGAAACGGUAGCUAAUACCGCAUACCAUCGGAUGUGCCCAGAUGGGAUUAGCUAGUAGGUGGGGUAACGCCUCAACUAGGCGACGAUCCCUAGCUGGUCUGAGAGGAUGACCAGCAACACUGGAACGGCUACCCGGUCCAGACUCCUACGGGAGGCAGCAGUGGGUAAUAUUGCACAAUGGGCGCAAGCCUGAUGCAGCCAUGCCGCUGGUAUGAAGAAGGCCUUCGGUUUGUAAAGUACUUUCAGCGAGGAGGCGUUACUCGCAGAAGAAGCACCGGCUAACUCCGUGCCAGCAGCCGCGGUAAUUC
rnacentral:rRNA from 1 species